rnacentral:piRNA from 1 species
UACAAAGCAUUCUCUGUGGGUUUUCAUGCA